AUUGAACGCUGGCGGCAGGCCUAACACAUGCAAGUCGAGCGGAGCGGCGGACGGGUGAGUAAUGCCUAGGAAUCUGCCUGGUAGUGGGGGAAAACGUCCGGAACUGGGCGCUAAUACCGCUAACAUUAGAAUGAGCCUAGGCCGAAUUAGCUAGUUGGGGGGGAAAAGGCCUACCAAGGCGACGAUCCGUAACUGGUAUGAGAGGAUGAUCAGUCACACUGGAACUGAGACACGGUCCAGACUCCUACGGGAGGCAGCAGUGGGGAAUAUUGGACAAUGGGCGAAAGCCUGAUCCAGCCAUGCCGCGUGUGUGAAGAAGGUCUUCGGAUUGUAAAGCACUUUAAGUUGGGAGGCGUUACCAACAGAAUAAGCACCGGCUAACUUCGUGCCAGCAGCCGCGGUAAUUC
rnacentral:rRNA from 1 species